AGAAUGAAUAACGGUUUCUCGAGAAUUAAACUUACGGAAAUUGAGAAAAAACUUCUGGAUGACCUCUCAACGCCUGAUUUUAAUCCACAUCGACUCAGCUAUCAAAAUAAUAAUAAUUCAUCGACUUCUCAUACAAUAAUGAAGAGACAACAAAGUAAGAACAACACACCAAACAAAAGUGUCCGAUUCGAGGACGAUUUUGAGGAUCCUAUCCUUUGUUCCCGAUUUCCAUCUGCCCAGUGCAUUCAAAUAACCUCCAAACUUUCCUCCGAUUCAUCUGAUGGAUUUUUAAUAGCUGCUAAAGCACAACGGCCCCAUCAAAAAAGUUUCGAAAUAUCCUCAGAAUUGACCGACUUUGAUGUCAAUCCUCGUUCAGCCUCCCGCCUGCCACAAGCCGACCGUGAACCGCAACGUGAACUCCGCUAUCCUAACGCCAUGU